UUGAAUCAAUUUAAUUUGAAACAAAAAAAUUAUUUUAUUUUUAAUUUAUAUUUUUUUUAAAAAAAAUAAUUUAUUUUUUAUUAUUAUAAUAAGAAAAAAUUUUUUUAAUUAUAGUUUAAAGUAUUGUGAAAGAAAUUUUUAUAUUAAUUAAAAGAAAAAUUUAAUUUUUGUACCUUGUGUAUCAGGGUUUAUUAAAAUUUUUUAAAAAUUUAUUAUUCUCGAAUUUAAAAGAGCUAAAAAGUUAUUAUUAUUAUUGUAGAAUAAUUAUAUUUAAUAAUUUUUUUGUAAUGAAAUGUUAUUCGUUUUUAAAUAUAUCUAGUUUUUUAAGAAAAAAAUUUAAUUUUAUUAUUAUUAAUAUAAUUUUUAAUUUUUAAUUUUAUAUUUAUAGUAAUUAAUAUUUUUAGGGAUUAGCUUAAAAAUAGAUUUUUAUUAAAAUAAAAAUUUAUUAAUUUUUUAGGAUUAGAAAUUUUCAUAAUUUAAAGUAUGUUAUAAUUUAAUUUAAAAUAAUUAUUAUUUUUAUUUAUUAUAAAUUUAGUAUUAAAAUAUAAAUUUUAAUUUUAUAUAUUUAGUAAUAAUGAUAAAAUUAGUAUAAUUUUAUAAAAAAAUAAAAGUUAAAUUAAUGUUAAUUAAAGGAAUUCGGCAAAUUAAUUUUCACCUGUUUAAUAAAAACAUGUCUUUUUGGUAUUAAUUUAAGGUUUAACCUGCCCAAUGAAAAUUUGAAUGGCCGCGGUAUUUUGACUGUGCUAAGGUAGCAUAAUCAUUAGUUUUUUAAUUAAAAGCUGGAAUGAAGGGUUGGAUGAAAAAUUGACUGUCUCUAAUUAAUUUUAUUAGAAUUUUAUUUUUAAGUUAAAAAGCUUAAAUUUAUUUAAAAGACGAGAAGACCCUAUAGAGUUUAAUAUAUUUAAUUUAUAAAUAUUUAGUAUUUAUUUUUUGUAAUUAUUAUAUAUUUAAUUGGGGUGAUUAAAAAAUUUAAUAAACUUUUUUUAUAAAUUUAUAUUGAUUAAUAAAUAAAUGAUCCAAAAAUUUUGAUUAUAAGAUAAAUUACCUUAGGGAUAACAGCGUAAUUUUAUUAAAGAGUUCAAAUCGAAAAUAAAGUUUGCGACCUCGAUGUUGGAUUAAAAUUUAUAUUUGGUGUAGAAGCUAAAUAAUUUAAGUCUGUUCGACUUUUAAAAUUUUACAUGAUCUGAGUUUAAACCGGUGUAAGCCAGGUUGGUUUCUAUCUUUAAACAAAUAAAAUAUUUUAGUACGAAAGGACCAAAUAUU
rnacentral:rRNA from 1 species